UACAGAGGUCUCAAGCGUUGUUCGGAAUUACUGGGCGUAAAGCGCACGUAGGCGGCUUUGUAAGUUAGAGGUGAAAGCCCGGGGCUCAACUCCGGAAUUGCCUUUAAGACUGCAUCGCUAGAAUUGUGGAGAGGUAAGUGGAAUUCCGAGUGUAGAGGUGAAAUUCGUAGAUAUUCGGAAGAACACCAGUGGCGAAGGCGACUUACUGGACACAUAUUGACGCUGAGGUGCGAAAGCGUGGGGAGCAAACAGG
rnacentral:rRNA from 1 species